rnacentral:tRNA from 2 species
GUAAUUCAACUACAAGAAC